AUUGAACGCUGGCAGCAGGCCUAACACAUGCAAGUCGAACGGUAACAGGAAACAGCUUGCUGUUUCGCUGACGAGUGGCGGACGGGUGAGUAAUGUCUGGGAAACUGCCUGAUGGAGGGGGAUAACUACUGGAAACGGUAGCUAAUACCGCAUAACGUCGCAAGACCAAAGAGGGGGACCUUCGGGCCUCUUGCCAUCAGAUGUGCCCAGAUGGGAUUAGCUAGUAGGUGGGGUAACGGCUCACCUAGGCGACGAUCCCUAGCUGGUCUGAGAGGAUGACCAGCCACACUGGAACUGAGACACGGUCCAGACUCCUACGGGAGGCAGCAGUGGGGAAUAUUGCACAGUGGGCGCAAGCCUGAUGCAGCCAUGCCGCGUGUAUGAAGAAGGCCUUCGGGUUGUAAAGUACUUUCAGCGGGGAGGAAGGGAGUAAAGUUAAUACCUUUGCUCAUUGACGUUACCCGCAGAAGAAGCACCGGCUAACUCCGUG
rnacentral:rRNA from 1 species